rnacentral:rRNA from 1 species
GGGAUAAACGCUGGCGGCGUGCCUAAUACAUGCAAGUCGAGCGGCAGCGCGGUCUUCGGACUGGCGGCGAGCGGCGGACGGCUGAGUAACACGUAGGAACGUACCCCAAAGUGAGGGAUAAGCACCAGAAAUGGUGUCUAAUACCGCAUGUGCUCUAAGGAGUAAAGCUUCGGCGCUUUGGGAACGGCCUACGCAUGAUUAGCUUGUUGGUGAGGUAAUGGCUCACCAAGGCGACGAUCAUUAGCUGGUCUGAGAGGAUGAUCAGCCAGACUGGGACUGAGAACGGCCCAGACUCCUACGGGAGGCAGCAGUAGGGAAAUUUUCCACAAUGGGCGAAAGCCUGAUGGAGCAACGCCGCGUGCAGGAUGAAGGCCUUAGGGUUGUAAACUGCUUUAUGUGUGACGAAUAUGACGUAGCAUAUGAAUAAGGAUCGGCUAACUCCGUGCCAGCAGCGC